rnacentral:misc_RNA from 1 species
GGGAAAUAUGCUCUCUAUUUUGGAGCAAAAAGCACUAGAAAGAGGAGGAAGAACAAUGUUACUCUCACGUAUAAUAUACGUUCGAGAAAACACCAAAAACAAGGAUAAUUACAAAUCAAUUUUAAUCUUCCAAAGCGAUUUGCAUUCAUGGUUACCCAAAAAGCGCUGGUGCAAAAUUCUUCUAUCAUUGAUAGAGAAGGACUAGAAUGACUGACAAAAAUCUUCACAGUAGAUGCAAGUAGGAAUCCGUCAAGUUCACACUAGAAAUUCAAGAUGACAACAGAAGUCUCAAGGGAUGUUUACAAGCUACCGAGAGGCAAUAAGAAAUGUAAGUCCGCAAAAUUGUUUCACCAAUUUUUCAUCUCCAAGCAUCGCCAUCAUCAUCAUCAUCAUCAUCA